UGAUUUUCGGUGAUUCGAUUAACUUCAGGAGGUGAUUUGUGACUUAAGAGUGCGAUCGAAAUUUAUUUUGGAGGUCCAAUGUAGAAUUAAGCUUGAAUUGGUGAAGUUAGUAUUUUGGCGAAUUCCAGUUGAGGGGUGAGAAUUUGAUCCGAGGGUCGGAAUGGAACUCCGAGAGUUGCUGUAGCUUCGUUAGGUGAUUUUGGAUGUGUGUGCAAAUGUUCAGGUCAUUCAGACGUCGUUUGGUCGGAUUUUUGAUCGAUAGUGCAUUUCGGAAGUUUUUGAAGAACUUACGCUUAAAUUCGAUGUGAUUUGAUGGUUUUAGCGUUGUUUGAUGUGUUUUGAUGGUUAGAACAAGUUUGAAUGAGGCUAUGAGAUAUGUUGGUAUUUUUGGUUGAGGUCCCGGGGGAUUCGAGUGGCUAAACGAGAGUUUUUGAAGUUUGCUUCACGUCUAAUAUUGCUGUCAUCUUGUAUUUCCGCUUCUGCGGAAAUGGACCGCAAAAGCGGUUCCGCAAAAGCGGGUAGAAGUGCGCAGAAGCGAUUUCGUGUGUGGUUGAGG
rnacentral:lncRNA from 1 species